rnacentral:tRNA from 1 species
UAAAUUGAAGCCAAAUGUUAAGGCACUUAGCUGUUAACUAAGAGUUAGAGGGAGAGAGAGAUACCCUCCAGUUUAG